rnacentral:rRNA from 1 species
UGGGGAAUAUUGGACAAUGGGGGCAACCCUGAUCCAGCAAUGCCGCGUGUGUGAAGAAGGUCUUCGGAUUGUAAAGCACUUUCGACGGGGACGAUGAUGACGGUACCCGUAGAAGAAGCCCCGGCUAACUUCGUGCCAGCAGCCGCGGUAAUACGAAGGGGGCUAGCGUUGCUCGGAGUGACUGGGCGUAAAGGGCGUGUAGGCGGUUUACACAGUCAGAUGUGAAAUCCCCGGGCUUAACCUGGGAGCUGCAUUUGAUACGUGUAGACUAGAGUGUGAGAGAGGGUUGUGGAAUUCCCAGUGUAGAGGUGAAAUUCGUAGAUAUUGGGAAGAACACCGGUGGCGAAGGCGGCAACCUGGCUCAUGACUGACGCUGAGGCGCGAAAGCGUGGGGAGCAAACAGGAUUAGAUACCCUGGUAGUCCACGCUGUAAACGAUGUGUGCUAGAUGUUGGGUAACUUUGUUAUUCAGUGUCGCAGUUAACGCGUUAAGCACACCGCCUGGGGGAGUACGGCCGCAAG